UACGAAGGGUGCAAGCGUUGCUCGGAAUUACUGGGCGUAAAGGGCGCGUAGGCGGAUAGUUUAGUCAGAGGUGAAAGCCCAGGGCUCAACCCUGGAAUUGCCUUUGAUACUGGCUAUCUUGAGUUCGGGAGAGGUGAGUGGAACUCCGAGUGUAGAGGUGAAAUUCGUAGAUAUUCGGAAGAACACCAGUGGCGAAGGCGACUCACUGGCCCGAUACUGACGCUGAGGCGCGAAAGCGUGGGGAGCAAACAGG
rnacentral:rRNA from 1 species